UGGUAGAGCCUCUGCUGCGGCCGCAGUGGUACGUUCGCUGUGGGGAGAUGGCCCAGGCUGCCAGCGCCGCUGUGACUCGGGGUGACCUCCGCAUCCUGCCUGAGGCCCAUCAGCGCACAUGGCAUGCCUGGAUGGACAACAUCCGGGAGUGGUGCAUUUCCAGGCAGCUGUGGUGGGGCCAUCGCAUCCCAGCCUACUUUGUCACUGUCAGUGACCCAGCGGUGCCCCCUGGGGAGGUGAGCAGAGGGCCAGAGCUAGCUGCUGGGACACCCUGCGGGAGCGGACCCUGAUGGGCGGUACUGGGUGAGCGGACGCAAUGAGGCGGAGGCCCAGGAGAAGGCAGCCAAGGAGUUCGGAGUGUCCCCUGACAAGAUCAGUCUCCAGCAAGAUGAGGAUGUAUUGGAUACCUGGUUCUCCUCCGGCCUCUUCCCUUUAUCCAUUUUGGGCUGG
rnacentral:sRNA from 1 species